rnacentral:rRNA from 1 species
GAUGAACGCUGGCGGCAUGCCUUACACAUGCAAGUCGAACGGCAGCACGGGUGCUUGCACCUGGUGGCGAGUGGCGAACGGGUGAGUAAUAUAUCGGAACGUACCUUAUUGUGGGGGAUAACGCAGCGAAAGCUGUGCUAAUACCGCAUAAUCCCUAAGGGGGAAAGCGGGGGACCGUAAGGCCUCGCGCAAUUAGAGCGGCCGAUACCGGAUUAGCUAGUUGGUGAGGUAAAGGCUUACCAAGGCAACGAGCAGUAGCUGGUCUGCGAGGACGAACAGCCACACUGGGACUACGACACAGCCCAGACUCCUACGGGAGGCAGCAGUGGGGAAGUUUGGACCAUGGGGGCAACCCUGAGCCAGCAAUGCCGCGUGAGUGAAGAAGGCCUUCGGGUUGUAAAGCUCUUUUGUCAUGGAGGAAACAGCAGCUCUAACACAGUAUGCGAAUGACGGUACCUGAAGAAUAAGCACCGGCUAACUACGUGCCAGCCGCCGCAGUAA